GAUCCUCUCGAAGAAGCAGCGGAAGACCGAGAGGCCGUAGCGCUCGCGGAUACGGGUGAGUGAAGAAUGCUCGGGCAAAGGCUCGAAUAGAUCGUAGCCGAGGUACCAACGCAAGGACAAACGGUCGGCUACUACCCCCAUCAGUU
rnacentral:misc_RNA from 1 species